CCUACGGGUGGCAGCAGUGAGGAAUAUUGGUCAAUGGACGAGAGUCUGAACCAGCCAAGUAGCGUGAAGGAUGACUGCCCUAUGGGUUGUAAACUUCUUUUAUAUGGGAAUAAAAUGUUCCACGUGUGGGAUUUUGUAUGUACCAUAUGAAUAAGGAUCGGCUAACUCCGUGCCAGCAGCAGCGGUAAUACGGAGGAUCCGAGCGUUAUCCGGAUUUAUUGGGUUUAAAGGGAGCGUAGGUGGAUUGUUAAGUCAGGUGUGAAAGUUUGCGGCUCAACCGUAAAAUUGCAGUUGAAACUGGCAGUCUUGAGUACAGUAGAGGUGGGCGGAAUUCGUGGUGUAGCGGUGAAAUGCUUAGAUAUCACGAAGAACUCCGAUGGCGAAGGCAGUUCACUGGACUGCAACUGACACUGAGGCUCGAAAGUGUGGGUAUCAAACAGGAUUAGAUACCCUAGUAGUC
rnacentral:rRNA from 1 species